ACGGGAGGCAGCAGUGGGGAAUAUUGGGCAAUGGGCGCAAGCCUGACCCAGCGACGCCGCGUGAGGGGAGAAGGUCUUCGGAUUGUAAACCUCUUUCAGUAGGGAAGACCAAGAGACGGUACCUGCAGAAGAAGUCACGGCUAACUACGUGCCAGCAGCCACGGUAAUACGUAGGUGGCGAGCGUUAUCCGGAAUUACUGGGUGUAAAGGGUGUGUAGGCGGAGAGGCAAGUCAGGCGUGAAAUACUCGGGCUCAACCCGGGAACUGCGCUUGAAACUGUUUCCCUUGAGAGUGGGAGAGGUAAACGGAAUUCCUGGUGUAGUAGUGAAAUGCGUAGAUAUCAGGAGGAACACCGGUGGCGAAGGCGGUUUACUGGACCACAACUGACGCUGAGACACGAAAGCGUGGGGAGCAAACAGGAUUAGAUACCCUGGUA
rnacentral:rRNA from 1 species